rnacentral:rRNA from 1 species
GACGAACGCUGGCGGCGUGCCUAACACAUGCAAGUCGAGCGGGGAGAGAUUUUCGGAUUUCUCUUUAGCGGCGGACGGGUGAGUAACACGUGGGUAACCUGCCUCAAAGAGGGGGAUAGCCUUCCGAAAGGAAGAUUAAUACCGCAUAAUAUCAGGAAGCUGCAUGGCAUUCUGAUUAAAGGACAAAUCCGCUUUGCGAUGGACCAUCGGCGCAUUAGUGGGUUGGUGAGGUAACGGCCAACCAAGGCGACGAUGGGUAGCCGACCUGGGAGGGUGGUCGGCCACCUUGGAACUGAGACACUGUCCAGACUCCUACGGGAGGCAGCAGUGGGGAAUAUUGCACAAUGGGGGAAGCCCUGAUGCAGCAACGCCGCGUGAGUGAUGAAGGCCUUCGGGUCGUAAAGCUCUUUGAUCAGGGACGAUAAUGGCGGUACCUGAAAAACAAGCCACGGCUAACUACGUGCCAGCCGCCGCUGUAAAAC